rnacentral:rRNA from 1 species
AACGAACGCUGGCGGCAUGCCUAACACAUGCAAGUCGAACGAGACCUUCGGGUCUAGUGGCGCACGGGUGCGUAACGCGUGGGAGCCUGCCCUUAGGUUCGGAAUAACUCCCCGAAAGGGGUGCUAAUACCGGAUAAUGUCGUCGGACCAAAGAUUUAUCGCCUUUGGAUGGGCCCGCGUUGGGUUAGCUAGUUGGUAGGGUAAAAGCCUACCAAGGCGACGAUCCAUAGCUGGUGUGAGAGGAUGAUCAGCCACACUGGGACUGAGACACGGCCCAGACUCCUACGGGAGGCAGCAGUGGGGAAUAUGGGACAAUGGGCGAAAGCCUGAGCCAGCAUUGCCGCGGGAGUGAUGAAGGCCUUAGGGUGGUAACGCGCUUUUACCCGGGAUGAUAAUGACAUUACCGGGAGAAUAAGCCCCGGCAACCUCCGG